UACGUAGGGGGCAAGCGUUGUCCGGAAUCAUUGGGCGUAAAGAGCGCGUAGGCGGCCCUGUAAGUCCGCUGUGAAAGUCAAGGGCUCAACCCUUGGAUGCCGGUGGAUACUGCAGGGCUAGAGUCCGGAAGAGGCGAGUGGAAUUCCUGGUGUAGCGGUGAAAUGCGCAGAUAUCAGGAGGAACACCGAUGGCGAAGGCAGCUCGCUGGGACGGUACUGACGCUGAGGCGCGAAAGCCAGGGGAGCGAACGGG
rnacentral:rRNA from 1 species